rnacentral:lncRNA from 1 species
UUCUCUUUGGGAAGGUACUUAGGUUUCUUUAGGCUUUGGUUUCCUCAUCUUUUAUUCAAACUUAACUACAAAGACCACCACGGAUUUCACGUGAAAACGAACUCACAUGUGAUCAAUACAGUGGCUGACAAUAAAUUCUCAAUUAAAAGACAUUAUGGAUGUAACAAAGAAGAUGCUGUAAAAUAGACCACGGAUUUUAGGGAAAGGUGACUAAAUAGCUAUGAAAUGUUUGAAUAUAUUUUGCUGUGGCCCCUGGGGGGAUCUGGAAUAUAAAGUCCUAUACAGACACAUAAUGCACACGAAGAAGGCUUGGGCUCGAAGUGUCAUUUCAGCAAUGUGCCUGGGGACGAUGCGCUGCCUUGGAAGUCGGUAACCGCUGCCCGACCUUUGGGCGUCUGGGAGGGAUGCCUGUACCUGCGCCCAGCGCUGGACGGGGCCCAGGCCCUUCCCAGGCCAGCCGACCUGCAGACUGCUUAAUGCUUCGUAGCAUACAUCUCCAGGGAAAAGAGCAUUUCCUCCCGUCAGAGAAAGCUCCUCAGUCCGGUGUGGGUUGGUUUUUAUUUUGCCUCGCUGCAAGUAGGCGAAGUCCCUUCCGUCUCCUCCCUUGGGAUAGUCCAUUUGUAAUUGAAGGAAGCUGCUUCUACUUGGGAGUGGCAGCAAAAGUGAGAAAACCACAUGGAAGACUCCCAGGAUUUAAAUGAACAAUCAGUAAGUCUUUAUCCAACCUUAGUUUUGCUAAAGAAAAAAAAAAGUUGUAAGAUAACUACUCAAAAUUAUAUUUAAACUGACUAUUUUGUAAGCACUAUUUUUCUUGGUUGAGUAUAUUUUUUGUUGCUUUUUGGACCGACCAUU